rnacentral:lncRNA from 1 species
CCAGGUACCUGGGAAGUGCUCAGUCCACCAAUGGUGCAUUCCUGGCUCCGGAGGGAAACCAGGCAGAGAGGGCACAGAGAAGCCAGCUUCGGAAUGCUUAGCUGUUCUCCAGCUUACUGUGUUCCAACUCCCGUUCCUGUCCGUUGGAGUGAAGGUUGAUUACCUUGGGCGUGUGUCGUGGUGAAGGAAGCGGACAAGCAGAAGGAGCAGCUGACAUACAGAUCGAUGGGAACAUUUCUGGAGCGCUUGAGUACAUAACUUAGCCACAGAUAUAAGAAAGUAGCUGACUGUGAACGUUCAAGCUGAAAUGAAUGACCAUACUUCUCAGGCUGCUGUGUAUAGUUGUUAUCCACUGGACAAAGUCUGGCCACCUAUCUGUCCUAUAAGUGCUGUCCUAUAAGAGGGAGCCCUUCUCCAUUGUCCCACCUCCUGCUGAUACUGAACAGGUUGGACUCAUCCAUCAGCAGAUGUCAACACGUUGACUCCAUCCUUGUCGUUUCCUCCAGGCUCCCACAAAACAGUGAUUGGCCUCAAGUGAGUCAAAUGGGAAAGAGCAUGUGUGAGGCCUGGAAACCACUAGCCGCCAAGAAUAAGUUUCAAAGAGGAAAGAAAGGAAAGGAUGUGGGAGAGGAGACUGAGGCUGGAGCUAGCAGAUUCAUCACAGGACACCCAUAACCACUUGAGAGGCAAGAUGUACUCCUGCAUUCGUGAGCGUCUAUAGUGUCCGGCGUCUCCUCAGUCCUCGGGAAUCUUCUCGGAUCCUCAGGAAUCUUCGGGUCCUAUGUGUUCUAGGAGAGAUGCUGAUGAAUCAUCUGUGGGAACGAGAGCCUAUGAGUCACUGGGCACAGGAGGUACCCGGACACAACAUGGAAGUGAAAGAAAUGCAUUUAAGGUGCAUACCUUUUGAAGGAGCCAUUUUAGUCUUUCUAGGAAUUCUU